rnacentral:rRNA from 1 species
UACGUAGGGUGCGAGCGUUGUCCGGAUUUAUUGGGCGUAAAGAGCUCGUAGGCGGCUUGUCGCGUCGGAUGUGAAAGCCCGGGGCUUAACUCCGGGUCUGCAUUCGAUACGGGCAGGCUAGAGUGUGGUAGGGGAGAUCGGAAUUCCUGGUGUAGCGGUGAAAUGCGCAGAUAUCAGGAGGAACACCGGUGGCGAAGGCGGGUCUCUGGGCCGAUAUUGACGCUGAGGAGCGAAAGCGUGGGGAGCGAACAGG